AUGAGAUGGCACCAGUUACCCUAUGGGAUGGGUCCCGCUGCCCUACUGGGAUGGGUGCACCACUUGUUGGGGUGGUGCCCACGACCCUACUGGGAUGGUGGCCAUGGCAGCCUGGGAUGGGUCCCGCUCAUCCUGCUGGGAUGGUGCCCAUGACCCCAUAAGGAGGUGCCCGGGACCCUACUGGGAUGUGUCCCACCACCUUACUGGGAUGAGGCCCACUGUCCCGGUAGGGUGGUGCCCACGACCCCAUGACGUGGUACCCAUAGCCUUACUGGGAUGGGUCUCAUUGUCCUGGGAGGGUGGUGCCCACGACCCCAUAAGAAGGUGCCCAUGACCUUACUGGGAUGGGUCCUCUCACUUUACUGGGAUGGGUUCCACCAUCUGUUGGGAUGGUGCCCACGACCCCAUAAGAUGAUGCUCAAGGCCUUACUGGGAUGGGUCCCACCACAUGUUGGGAUGGUGCCCAUGGCCAUACUGGGAUGGGUCCCUCCGCCUUACUGGGAUGGCUCCCAUCAUUUGUUGGGAUGGUGCCC
rnacentral:lncRNA from 1 species